rnacentral:rRNA from 1 species
ACAGAGGGUGCGAGCGUUAAUCGGAAUCACUGGGCGUAAAGGGCGCGUAGGCGGUGUAUUAAGUUAGAGGUGAAAGACCUGGGCUCAACCUAGGAAUUGCCUUUAAGACUGGUAUGCUAGAGUAGAGUAGAGGGAAGUGGAAUUUCCGGUGUAGCGGUGAAAUGCGUAGAUAUCGGAAAGGACAUCAGUGGCGAAGGCGGCUUCCUGGAUUCAUACUGACGCUGAGGCGCGAAAGCAUGGGUAGCAAACAGGA